UAAAUGUUCUUCACUUUUUAAAGAAAAAUAAAAACCAUAAAAAUAAACAACCUCUCAAUUACUUCUUUGGCUUAAAUUCCCUAAUUUCCUUUUAGUAAUUUACUCAAAUUUUCCCCUAGUCACUAAAGGUGCGUAGCAUUUGCGCAUUUAUUACACUUCCAGAGCUAGCGUGAGGAUAUAAAAGCCUAACUGUUGUCGUGUCUGUGCUGUUUGCUCCAGGGAUGGUUAUCUAAUCAAAUUUAACUCAAUAAAGGGGGAUAGUAGGCUCUGCUGAGAUAAUUUCUCGCUAAGAGUUGAUAAUAUGGUAAGAACCUAUAAAACCUGGUCUCAUCCACUGUAGGUGUUGUAUUUAGUAUAAUUCUAAGAAGCCAAAUUGUCAUGCUUGGACUCUCCCAGGUGGCCAGACAUGAAAAGGAUGGAGAAAAUAUGUACUCAUGGCUAGAUGUUAGAUUUGAAGGAUGGGUGUGAUUCAUUUAUUUAAAAGAGUGAUUUGAGAGAACAGAGGAGAAUAGGUUCUAGUGUCACAGUGUUAGCAAAAGUGUCACUACUCAUCAUUACCCCUAAAUCCUGUUUCAGGCUAGACCCAUUUUUGUCCAUCCAUAAUUAAUAAUAGUUCUAGAAUGUAUGCAAUUAGUUUCAUAAGCUACUUAUCACACUUUUAGAAGGUUCGAGUAGGUAUUCGAAGCCCACAUGUCUUGGGUGGCUACUCUCCUUUAAUAUUUAAGUUUCGCAUAAUUACAUAGCAAUAUGCUCUUUUCUUAUGCUCUUAGGUUUAUUUUUAAGAUCAUUACUUUGUCAUAAAUAGAACACCAGAAGGAAUUUUUUCUUUGUCCACAUUUUUUUGUGAAUGCAAACACUGAUACUUUGAUCUCAGUAGAAAGAGAGCAGCUGUAUUGGCAACUGCACCUAAAUAUCAAAACAAAAAUGAAAAUUCUAGGCCACUGUACACUGCUACUACAAAAUACAUAAAAAGUCACCAGCGAGCCUGACGCUUACAAUGACCAAAUAGUUCUAUAUAUGAUUAACAACUAAGUGUUAAUUGAAGUCUAUAAUGUUCCAGAAACCUGCCCAUCCUGCCAUCCUUUCCUUCCUUUCUUCCUUCCUUCGCAUGCAUUUAAAGCAGUUGUGUGACUUUGACUUGGCUCUCUCUGUACAGCUUGGAAAUAGAAUGUGGGGAGAAUUGUAAAGAGCUUUGGAUCAGAGAGGAAGCAACAUGCAUCCUCUGCAGGCCAUUGAAAUAGAAGUGCACAAAAAAGGAAGAACAACGAGUAGAAAGAAAUGCCUGUGCCUGUGAAUGAAAAUGCUUCUCAAGAAUGUCUUACCAGAAGUUGUCUUCACUACUUCAGUGGUAUUCCUCAA
rnacentral:sRNA from 1 species